CCGAUGGCGACCGGCGCACGGGUGCGUAACGCGUAUGCAACCUACCUUUAACAGGGGCAUAACACUGAGAAAUUGGUACUAAUUCCCCAUAACAUUCGAGAAGGCAUCUUCUUGGGUUAAAAACUCCGGUGGUUAAAGAUGGGCAUGCGUUGUAUUAGCUAGUUGGUGAGGUAACGGCUCACCAAGGCAACGAUACAUAGGGGGACUGAGAGGUUAACCCCCACAUUGGUACUGAGACACGGACCAA
rnacentral:rRNA from 1 species